AUAAAUUUGUCUUCCCAAUUUACCGUGUUGUGCUAUGUUUACAAUGAAGUGUGGCCAAUUGGAAAAGAAAAGAAAGGAUAAAAGUUGCUUGAAUAGCUGUCACAAAUUUGUCUUCAUAAUUUCCUUAUCAAUCUUUGCUUUUGAGAUUUUUAAGUGAUGCAGCCCCCUAAAUAUUCACAAUUUAAAUGCUCCAGAAGUAUUAAUGCAAUUUCCUGAUUUUUUGGAAAUAGGAAUUAAGAGUCAAUGUUUCUAUUUUUACUUUUUUUUCUUUUCAGUCUUUAAUAUGUAAUAUAUCCUAGUCUAAUUAGUAAAUUUUGUGUACAAUUUCUUGACUAAAUAAGAAUUCCCAAGCAUGAAGCACAAAAUUUAUAUUUUCCUUCAAUUCCACAAUUAAAUUUCAAUAUAAUGUUAUCAUCUGAAUUCCAUUCUAUCAAACCCUAUUCAGACAACAUCGAUUUCUUAAAAUUUUCUCCAAAACAUUGCUCAUGCAAACUCCAGUGACAAAGCUGCACUCCAAAUAGCCCUUCAAGCAUGUCCUUUGAGCAAUUUUUCUUCCUAUGGUACUUUUUUAUUGGUUGUUCAUAUUCCAACGUUCAAAUCAACCCACAACCAGUCAUUAAUAGACUAACCUGCCAGGCUUCCCGGAGUAUCUAUUGCCACCAGUGUUGUUAAGGGCAUUGAGCAAGGCACCAGACAAGGUAAGGUGAGGCGAGGCGAGGCGAGGCGAGCCCUUGGUGCCUCACCUAGCUGAGGCGAGGCAAGUGAUAACAGGUGAGUGCCCGAGUCCAUGGAGGCAAGAGGCAAUGGGCCAGUGAGGCGACGCCUCUUCAAAAUAACACACUUUCUCCCUUUUUUUUUAAAUUUUUUUGUAAUAGUAUAAAACAAAAGAAAACCCUAAAAAUAGCUCCACUUCACGCCAACAACAAGAACAGAAUGCAAAUAGAACACAAAGCAGACGAGAAACAAAGCAACCGGGAAUUUCUUCCUUCCUUUCUCUCUCUCUCUCGUCUUCACAUUCUUUCAUCUCUCUCCUCUACUCUUCUUCUAUUUUCUUCUCCUUAGUCUCUCAUCUGUGCAACCUUACAGUACCUCCAGCACCAGCAAUUCAGCGUUUUUUUUUCUUCUUUUCUCUACUCCUUCCCUUCUUCUCUAAAUUAGAUCCAGCACUUGCUAUUUUCUUCUCCUCUUAAGUCUCUCCCCUGGGAACCAGUAGUUCCUUUAUUUAUUUAUUUAUUUUUGGUUUCUUCUUUAUUUUUUUCAGUUAAAUUUGUUAAAUGGGUAGUGUGAUAUUCUUUUUUAUUAAAUGGAUAUUGUUGUGAU
rnacentral:misc_RNA from 1 species